rnacentral:rRNA from 1 species
AUUGAACGCUGGCGGCAGGCUUAACACAUGCAAGUCGAGCGGAGAUGAGGUGCUUGCACCUUAUCUUAGCGGCGGACGGGUGAGUAAUGCUUAGGAAUCUGCCUAUUAGUGGGGGACAACAUUCCGAAAGGAAUGCUAAUACCGCAUACGUCCUACGGGAGAAAGCAGGGGAUCUUCGGACCUUGCGCUAAUAGAUGAGCCUAAGUCGGAUUAGCUAGUUGGUGGGGUAAAGGCCUACCAAGGCGACGAUCUGUAGCGGGUCUGAGAGGAUGGUCCGCCACACUGGGACUGAGACACGGCCCAGACUCCUACGGGAGGCAGCAGUGGGGAAUAUUGGACAAUGGGGGGAACCCUGAUCCAGCCAUGCAGCGUGUGUGAAGAAGGCCUUAUGGUUGUAAAGCACUUUAAGCGAGGAGGAGGCUACUGAGACUAAUACUCUUGGAUAGUGGACGUUACUCGCAGAAUAAGCACCGGCUAACUCUGUGCCAGCAGCCGCCGUAA